rnacentral:lncRNA from 1 species
UAUCUAUCAACUCCUUUUGGUCAUAUUAUAUACAGCAGGCUAUAUUCAAUAUAAUUCAUUUAGCCUAUUUUGUUUUUCAGAGAAAAACAAUUCUCAGAGAUAACUUGGUGAUUGGAGCUGUGAACAGUGGUGGAUGGUGGAUUCUGGGGAUGCUGGGAUGUAUUCUCUGAGCACCUCUGUACCAUCUACAUUUUACUAACUUUAAACAGAAAAUGAUGUGUUAGUCAGAGCAUCUGGGUAGCGUGAGAACAGAACUGUAAGUCUACAGGGUGGUUUGAGUCAGGAGGAGAAGUGUGAAGUGACAUUAAAACAUCAUGCUUUCACUUCUUCUGUUCUGCUGUUACUAAUGCACUGGGGCAAAACUUGGUAAAGUAACACACAUGACCCGACCAGCAGUCACAACUUCUUAAUCAUGGCAUUGUCUCUCUGUGAUGUACAGGACCUGUUGGUGUGGAUACACAGGGAUCUGCAAAUUAAGAUAGGGUGAUGGAUCUGGAUGCUGAUGAAAACCUUCACAAAUUCCUCUUUUUGGAUGAGGCAGGCUUCAACCUGGCCAAGACAAGGAGGAAUUUCAUUGGCCAGAGGGCAACCAUCCAAGUACCUGGACAACGUGGGGCCAACAUCACCAUGUGUGCGGCUAUAUCGGAAGAUGGUGUGGUGGGACACAGACCUCGCAUUGGCUCAUAUAAUGCAGCUCUCCUUGUGUAACCUUCUUGAUGAGCUAAAUCAGGUCUGUAGAGAUGAUGGCGUGACCUAUGUCAUUGCGUGGGACAAUGUCAGGUUCCACCAUGCUCAAAUGGUGCAAGCAUGGUUUCAGGCCCAUCCACAAUUUACCACCCUGUACUUACCCCCAUACUCUCCUUUCCUUAACCCGAUUGAGGAAUUUUUCUCCACAUGGAGGCGGAAGGUAUAUGAUAGGCGCCCUCACGAACAAGCCACCCUUCUCCAGGCCAUGGAUGACACAUGCAAUGACAUCACGGCAGACCAGUGUCAGGCCUGGAUUCACCAUGCCCGAAGAUUCUUCCCAAGAUGCUUGGCCAAUGAAAACAUCCAUUGUGAUGUGGAUACGAACCUGUGGCCAAAUCCACAAUUGAUGGAAAUAUAGAAGUACAGUAAUCAAUACUUUGUUUUGCUUUUUACAGUAAGCCAGUUGACAUUUUACUGUAGUGUUUUUCUUUUUUGUAGCUAAUUAUUUUUGCUUUGAUUCAAGGAAACCUAUGUUGUGAUUUUAUUGUAUUUCAUCAAUAAAUUUCAGAUUUUGUUCAAUGAUUCCACUGUGUCUGUAGUAUUCUCUCUACUAGUCCUUUUACAGUGAAGUAUUUACGUGUAGUACCAUAAUGAAACACGUAUCACAUAUUUUGUACUACAAUAUUUUAUGAUUGUAUGAACAACUACACAGUGAAACUAUCGGCAUCUUGUGUGUGGGUGAUCUAAAUGAAUGUUCCUAUGGUAUUUCAUGAUAAUCGUUAUUUGAACCAAUGCAAGGUUUCUUUAAAGAUAUGAAGGCACAAUCCAUCUUUUUGAACAUUGGACAGCCUGUGUUACAAGUGAUGACCGUUUUGAGUUUUAUGUCUAGAGUUUUGAAAAAUGACCACAAGAUUCUGAAAUUAGUGCCAAAGGGAUUGUAAAAAACUGUAAAUAGCCAUCACUAAUUGGCUUCCACCCGGUUACGCAACCCUGCACCUUAGAGGCUGCUGCCCUAUAUACAUAUACUUGGAGUCACUGGCCACUUUAAACAUGGAACACUAGUCACUUUAAUAAUGUUUGAAUAGUGUUUACAUACUGCUUUACUCAUCUCAUAUGUAUAUACUGUAAUCUAUUGUACUGUAUUUUAGUUAAUGCCACUCCAACAUUGCUAAUUAUAUAUUUCUUAAUUACAUUAUUUUACUUUUAGAUGAGUGUGUAUUGUUGUGAAUUGUUAGAUAUUACUUUACUCUUGGAGCUAGAAACACAAGCCUUUCUCUACGCAGGGAUCCGGGGCCAUACUUCCCUUUUAGCUUUUUGCGUCUUUUCCCCACUAAAUGCUAAAUUGAACAUUUCUUUUGGAAAAGACAAUCACUCUAUUACUAAAAUAAUUGACUGUACUUUCUUCUAUUCUGUCACCUGUGCUAUAAACUAAUUUGUGUCACUUCACUCCUUCCAUAAUGCAAAAUAAAAUAUCUGUGGAGUCAAAAUCGAUAAAAACAGACACCUUAAAAUCACACUUCCGUCAAUAAAUGUCUCCCAUAUUCACA